AUUGAACGCUGGCGGCAGGCCUAACACAUGCAAGUCGAGCGGAUGAAGGGAGCUUGCUCCUGGAUUCAGCGGCGGACGGGUGAGUAAUGCCUAGGAAUCUGCCUGGUCGUGGGGGAUAACGUCCGGAAACGGGCGCUAAUACCGCAUACGUCCUGAGGGAGAAAGUGGGGGAUCUUCGGACCUCACGCUAUCAGAUGAGCCUAGGUCGGAUUAGCUAGUUGGUGGGGUAAAGGCCUACCAAGGCGACGAUCCGUAACUGGUCUGAGAGGAUGAUCAGUCACACUGGAACUGAGACACGGUCCAGACUCCUACGGGAGGCAGCAGUGGGGAAUAUUGGACAAUGGGCGAAAGCCUGAUCCAGCCAUGCCGCGUGUGUGAAGAAGGUCUUCGGAUUGUAAAGCACUUUAAGUUGGGAGGAGGGGCAGUAAGUUAAUACCUUGCUGUCUUGACGUUACCAACAGAAUAAGCACCGGCUAACUACGUG
rnacentral:rRNA from 1 species